rnacentral:tRNA from 14 species
GGCGCGGUGGAGGAGGUCGAGCGGCUGCUCGCGGCGGCGCGCGCCGCCGGCCACCGCGACCGCGAGUGGCGAGCGCUCGCGGCGCUCGCGCGCCU